UGCUCUGUUGGAAAAGGCAAAGUACGUGCUCACAUAUAUGUUCUAAAUACAACCAUAGAUGUCACCUAGACCCAUCCAUGCAUGGCUGAGAGAGUAGUAUCUAAGCUAAUGCUAGAUUUGAAACAGCUCAUUCAUUAACUAAUAUUAGAGGUUGUGAAAAUGAUGAAGAUCAUGAUCAGACUAGUUUAUUCAUAUUCAAAUCACCACCAAAUAACGUUAAAGUGAAAAAGAAAUAGAAAAGAAGCUUUUCCGACAAAACACGAAGCCAAUAUUUUUUUUACAAAACACAAAGACAAAACACGAAGGACAAUCGUUCCCCUACUAUUCACAUUUCUCUCUCUAGAAAGUUUUCCAGAUUCAGAUCUAGUUUUUUAUUUUGGCACUGAUCUUCAUCGCAGGUCUGGGUUAUAAUACGAAGCAGUGUGGGGCAUGCUUUCUUCUCCGUUAUCGGAGUGGUGUGGUUUCCGACAAGCGUUGCAGUUGUGGCCCCUUCUCGGCGGAGGAGAGAUCCUGGUUCUGUUUCCUCCUGGUUUGAAGACGCCAUAGGAGAUGUCAGUGGAAUCUCUCGCGGCUCAACCGUCAAGUUGGAUGCUAUGACAGCGGCGGAAGACGCUUGCGGAUUGGUGGGUUUUCCGGUAAGUGUUUUGGUGGUUAACAGUAGUUCCUUUCAGGAUCUUAGACGGCUUGCACGGGUUCUGGUUGUUGAGGGGUUGUCUGAGCCUUCACCACUCUCUAGCCUCCGUGUUUUGCUUCCACCGGACCGGAUCUGAAGAUUGCUUUGCCUCGGGAAAUUUUUCUGGUUCACGACUUUGGAUGUCAAGGGCUUGGAUCUGAGUAUGUCGUUUUGCUAGGUAGGGGAUUCGAUAUUCAUGGGUUGCGGAGUGUCGGAGAAUUGAUCUAUUCCGGGAGGCUUGUGGCGGGACAGACUUGUUAUUGGUGAUGGUUCGGAGACGGGAUCCGAAUACUCCAGUGGAAGAACUUGAUCCGACGACAAAGUCACAAAGUUGUGGGCCUUGUAUUCGCCGGUACUAGUAGAUCUGAUUCUCUGCCUCUGUUUACUGCCCAGAUUCAACCUUGAUUUCUGCUGUCCGUUACCGGAAAAAUUUCUCCGUUUGUAACUGUUGAUGUUUUGUAAUUUCCAGGCCUAAGCCCAUUAGGGUUGGCUCAUUAAUAAAAAGGUUUAAAAAGAAAAGAAAAAAAAGAUUGUAUAUUUCAUCAGUCCUUUUGGUUACAUAGAUCCCGAACCCCACCACCAUAAUAUUUUGGGGUCAUAUUGAGAUGUUAGAUUCUCUCAGCACAGAUAAGCCAUAUAUUGUCCUCAUCACUAAACAUUGAAAAACAAAAAUACAAAACUAUAUAUCUAUAUCAAUAAAUGCUCAC
rnacentral:lncRNA from 1 species